rnacentral:rRNA from 1 species
GAGUUUGAUCCUGGCUCAGAACGAACGCUGGCGGCGUGCUUAACACAUGCAAGUCGAACGUGAUCCAGAGCUUGCUCUGGUGAAAGUGGCGCACGGGUGAGUAACGCGUGGAUAACCUGCCCYGGUAUCUGGGAUAACCUCUCGAAAGGGGUGCUAAUACCGGAUAAGCCUACGGACUCCUCGGAGUCUGCAGGAAAAGGAGGCCUCUAUUUAUAAGCUUCCGUAUCAUGAUGGGUCCGCGUACCAUUAGCUAGUUGGUGGGGUAAUGGCCUACCAAGGCGACGAUGGUUAGCUGGUCUGAGAGGAUGAUCAGCCACACUGGAACUGAGACACGGUCCAGACUCCUACGGGAGGCAGCAGUGGGGAAUUUUGCGCAAUGGGGGAAACCCUGACGCAGCAACGCCGCGUGAGUGAUGAAGGCUUUCGGGUCGUAAAGCUCUGUCAGAGGGGAAGAAAUGAAACGUGCUAAUAUCACGUUUUCUUGACGGUACCCUCAAAGGAAGCACCGGCUAACUCCGUGCCAGCAGCCGCGGUAAUACAAGGGCRAAWK